UACGUAGGGUGCAAGCGUUGUCCGGAAUUAUUGGGCGUAAAGAGCUUGUAGGCGGUUUGUCGCGUCUGCUGUGAAAUUUCGGGGCUCAACCCCGAACUUGCAGUGGGUACGGGCAGACUAGAGUGUGGUAGGGGAGACUGGAAUUCCACGUGUAGCAGUGAAAUGCGUAGAUAUGUGGAGGAACACCGAUGGCGAAGGCAGCCCCCCUGGGUCAAGACUGACGCUCAUGCACGAAAGCGUGGGGAGCAAACAGG
rnacentral:rRNA from 1 species